rnacentral:rRNA from 1 species
AUGAUUCAGGAUAUGGCUGGAAGAACGGAUGACACAUUCUUUAUGGCCUGGCUUGCGAUACUAUACCUUGAUGCGCUUGUCCAUGACAUCCCAGUAAGCAACUGCGCGAUACGAUCGAAUGCAUGGGAUAGUACUCUAAUUGCCAAGGUGAUCAAGAAGGAUACCAUCUCUCCUGGUGUGUUCGGCAAAUUACAACUUAAAGAGGAGUAUAGAGGCACGGAGCAGACACCACUGUUUGGUGGAAUUUUGCAAGCUGAAGCAUUCGUGGCAUCCAAGUUACCAAUAACCUACAAUCCGCAGAAAAAGGCAAAUAUUGCGAAAGUGGUCAAUGACCUGUGCAAGGCUGUAACUGAACAGGUUGGCACCUUCAUUGAAGCAGUUGCCAAGAUCGAUGACGAGGAACCGGAUAUUGAUCCUUACGAGAUGCCCUGGUCCUUGAACCCAUACAAAGAUCAAAGUCUUAUCAUGGUGACGGGUUCUGCGAUGCACCAUCUUUUGACCUCGGCAUAG